ensembl:lncRNA
CCUCUGUGUUACUGCAGCUCAGUCUAUUCUAUCUCGCUCUCUUUUUCUCUUUCUCUCUCUCUUUCUCUCUCUCUCUCUGUCUGUUGCCGUAGCGAUCUCCUCUCUCCUUUUCUCUCUCUCUCCCUCUCUCUCUCUGUCUGUUGCCAUAGCGAUCUCCUCUCUCUCCCCGGACCCCGCAGCAUAACCCCCUGCACGGAUAGACCUGGCCUUUAUCGUUAUAAAGAUGAAUCCACCGUGGAAUAUCCAGAGAUGCUAUUAUCCCCACCACGACCCGGCAACACAGACAAUGAGUUCCCAGUCCUGAGGUGAACCCGUCCUCUGUCCUGAGGUGAAUCAGUCCAGAGUUACUGCAGUCCUGAGGGGAAUCAGUCCAGAGUUACUGCAGUCCUGAGGUGAAUCAGUCCAGAGUUACUGCAGUCCUGAGGGGAAUCAGUCCAGAGUUACUGCAGUCCUGAGGUGAAUCAGUCCAGAGUUACUGCAGUCCUGAGGUGAAUCAGUCCAGAGUUACUGCAGUCCUGAGGUGA